rnacentral:lncRNA from 1 species
AACAUGUUUAUUUUCCUUGGACUCCCUCCUCCAUCUUUGGUAGGGGUUAGGAACUCAUAAGCCUAUGUGGUUAUAUAGUGAAAAUAAAUCUACAAUCAACAUAGCUCACAACCUAGAACAUGAUAAAAUUAAACAUAUUGAAAAAGAUAGACAUUUUAUCAAAGAAAAACUUAACAUUGAUAUAAUUUGCACUUCAUAUGUGUCUAGUCAACGGCAAUUUACAUACAUAUACUCAGCAAGGGAUUGAACAAUAAUAACUUUGGGACAAUUAUAUCCUAACUAAGAAUAGAAAACACUUAUUCACCAACUUGAAAGGAAGUGUCAAACUAUAUUUUGAGAAGUUUUAGAUACUAUUUCUAUUAUUUUUAAUUAUGUAUAUUUGUUGUAUCGGGUUUUUAUUAGUGGCAUUACAAUCUCGGCGAUUUGUUCCCCGUAAUAGCCUAUUCCUAUUUCAAGAUGAUAAAGCUUAUGCAAUGAGAUAUAAUAAGAAAAAAAAAAUGAUAAAGCUUCCAUUUAUCACACUUUCCGCCUGAUGAGUUCUUCCUCAUUAGGCGAUGCAUCUAGUUCUUCAUCAUCUGUUGCUCAUUUAAUGAAAAUAGGUUGCGUCCCAUAAUGUUUGAGAAGGCUCAAUUACUUUCUAUCCACGGAAUAUGAUCUUUUGUGUUUAUGUAGGCACCUUUUGCGAUUCUCUUAUGCUCAUAUGAAAAACUUUUCUUCUUCAUUUUCUCUGUUCCACUACAAAUUUUUCUAAGUUUACUUUGAUUUAGUCUCCUAUAUUGCUAACGCUUUAACACCAAUCAUUGUUUUUACUGGACAUUAUUUAAUUGAACUGAAGCUUGACGGAUAAACUCUAGAGAAAUUAUAUUUCGAUCUUCCAAACAAUAUAGUUUUAUUUAUGAUGUAACAAUAACUAGGAUAUUAUAAGUUAAUAAGCAUUGUUUAUUGAUGAUUAAUGGCUACACCUUUAUUCAUGUCAGGUUGCAAAAGCUACAAAACUGGUGAAAUCUGAAAUUCCUGCAAAGAUCAAGUUGCUUCCGGAUCCAUGGACACCUGAAUCUGGAUUAGUCACUAAUGCUCUCAAGAUAAAGAGAGAACAGCUGAAAGCCAAAUUUAAAGAUGACCUUCAGAAGCUUUAUGCAUGAAGUCUUUAAUUUUUUUUGUCAACAUAUUGUGCAGUGUAAGUUAUGUAAUUUGUUUUUUCUUUCUAAAUCUGAAAGUAGUAUGUGUAUUGUUUGUAAAUUGUAAUUAUAUACUUCAUAUGGUAUAACGAGGGAAGAUCAUGAAAACGUGAGGGUGGAAGAAACACGUGGAAGUAGGCGUGUGAGAAAAAAAUAAUAUCAAACUCAAUGAUUAUGAUUGGGCAAGGAUUCAUUAAAUAGAAGUUUGUUAGAGGAGAGAUGGGGUGCUGUCAUUUACGUAUUCUUCGACUUCUUCUUUUCAUUCUGUGCCUUCCUUCUCUGUUGUCAUUUCCUUUUCUGUUAUAUGAAUUUUUGUAUUCAUAUUAUUAGAGGAUGCUUUACAGAGAAUAUUACGAGAUACUAUUAUAACAUCAUUUCAUUCUCCUUUCCAAAUUCUAUUACUGUUACAUUGCUAUCUUACAUUGGUGCUUUCAUCCUGUGAAUUAUGGCCGAAAACACGAGAAUGAAAGAAAUAGCUACUGAAAUAGCCUCGUCUCAAGGACCUUCCGGCAGAAGUUUGUCGCAUCGCGGAGGCCAUGGAAAGAUGUGAGCGAGAGUUACAAAAGUCGAUGGAACAUUUGACAUUACGGGAACAAGAGGCAGAAAACAGAUUCCAAACACUUGAAUCUACGUUGGGGUCUUUGCUCCAAACAAAACCACCACCCUCCACAGAGCCACCACCAUUCCAAGUGCGUAAUGUAAAACUUGAUUUUCCUCGCUUUGACGAUAUUGAAGUUCUUCAAUGGAUCUUCAAGGCAGAGUAGUUUUUCACCUACUACCACACACCCCGAUGAUUAAUGCUUGAUCAUAGCUUCCAUUCAUUUGGAGAAAGAGGUAAUCCCUGGGUUCCAGAUGCAAAACCGUGCCAAUGCCUUUCCAACUUGGGUUGCUUUUACUUGUGCUUUAGAAACCGAAUUUGGUCCUUCCCCGUAUGAAUGCCCCAAGGCCACCUUGUUUAAACUCACCUAAACAUCAUAUGUUCAUGACUAUUAUACUCAAUUCACAUCUCUGGCCAAUCGUGUCCAAGCCAUCACGGCUGAGGCUCUCCUAGAUUGCUUUAUAGGAGGCUUAAAACCAGAUCUCAAACGUGAUGUUAUUGCCCAAAACCCUACUUUUCUACUGCGUUGUGUGUCCUUAGCCAAAUUAUAUGAAGAGAAGUGCAUUCCCAGAAACAGGUUACCAAACACUUCCUAUUAUCCCAAAACACAAGCCACAAACACCAACCCCAUAGCCUCACAAUCCAUAAGAUCAACCACCUUACCACCCUUGUUAUCCUCACCGCAGUCAUCCACAUCCAGUUCCCACCCCAAACCCAAUUUCAUAAAAAAAGCUUACUACUGCAGAAAUGCAAUUACGCAGGGAGAAGGGACUCUGUUUUACAUGUGAUGAGAAAUUCACCAUGAAUCAUAGGUGUCCCAAUAAGCAGUAUUUUGUUUUACAAGUGGAUGAAGAUGUUCCAAUUGAUGUCCAACAUGACCCUCCAGAGGAAAUUGUGGAGGCUUAACCUCCACUAAUCGUGGAACAACACCUUUCAUACAAUGCAUUAAAGGGGUCUUCAGGACUUGGCACGAUGAAAUUUAAAUGGUCUAUCAAUGGCAUGACGGUCUAAGUUUUAUUAGAUAGUGGAAGCUCAAAUAAUUUCCUGCAACCCAGAAUUGCUCACUGUUUGAAACUACCAGUCGAGCCUAUUCCCAAUUUUCAAGUGUUGGUGGGCAACGAUAAUGCCUUGGUAGCUGAAGGACUCAUCAAGGAAUUACAAGUUAAGAUUCAAGGUCACCUACUGCAAUUACCAGUAUACUUCCCAUUUCAGUGAUUUGGUGUUAGGAGCCACUUGGUUGGCAACUUUGGGACCUCAUGUCUUUGAUUACAGCAGCUUAUCUAUCAAAUUUUAUGUUGGGAAUAAUUUGUGACUCUUCAUGGAGAUCAUUCAUCCCUGCCAUAGCCAGCUCAAUUCAACCACUUCAAGAGAAUGUGCCACACUAAAGGAAUUGCCGAGUUAUUCUCCUUGCAGGUUCAAAGCCCUCCAACCAUACAAGACCAAUGGCUGGAUCUUCCAAAGAAUAUGGAGCCGGAAAUUGUGUUGUUGCUCCAUCAAUACAAAACAGUUUUUGACCUUCCAACAAGACUACCCCCUGAUAGGCAACAAAACCAUUCUAUUCCCUUAGUUGAAGGUGCUAACCCUGUGAAGGUACGUCCAUACAGAUAUCCUCAUAGUCAGAAGUUGCAAAUUGAGAAAAUGAUUUCAGAGAUGCUGCGGGCAAGAAUUAUUAUUCCAUCCACCAACCCUUUUUCGUCACCAAUCAUAUUGGUUAGGAAAAUGGAUAAUACUUGGAGAUUUUGCAUAAAUUAUAGAGCUUUGAAUGCUAUAACAAUUAAAGAUAGCUUCCCUAUUCCCACUGUGGAUGAAUUACUUGAUGAGUUGUAUGUGACACAAUUUUUCUCUAAACUGGAUUUAAGGUCUGGGUAUCAUCAAAUAUUGAUUAAAGAGGAGGAUAGGCACAAAACAACCUUUAGAACUCAUCAAGGGCAUUAUGAAUGGUUGGUAAUGCCAUUUGGUUUAACCAAUGCCCCUGCCACCUUUAGAGCCUUCAUGAAUGACAUUUUUCAAGGUAUCCUAAGGAAAUUUGUCUUAGUCUUCUUUGAUGAUAUAUUAAUAUACAGUCCCACUUGGGAAGAACACCUCUAGCAUCUUGAGACAAUCCUACAGAUUUUACAACAUCAUCAAUUAUAUGCCAAAUUAUCAAUGUGUACUUUUGGCUUACAUGAGGUUGAUUAUUUGGGUCAUACAAUAUCUGGAAAAGGUGUGACCAUGAAUAAAGACAAAAUUAAGGCUAUGUUGCAAUGGCAAGUUCCCACCAACCUCAAGCAACUGAGAGGGUUUUUGGGACUCACAGGUUAUUAUCGAAGAUUUAUUAGGCAAUAUGCCUCUAUUGCUGAACCUCUAACUAAUCUUCUAAAGAAGGACUGUUUUAUAUGGAAUGAAGAAGCCACUUAAGCUUUUGAAGCUUUAAAAGUUGUUGGUUACUCAAGCCCCUGUGCUAAUUCUUUCGGAUUUUUCCAUUCCUUUUAUGUUGGAAAUUGAUGAUUAAGGGUCAUCUAUUCGAGCAGUGCUUAUUCAAAACAAACAUCCCAUUGCAUACUUUUCCAAGAAAUUGAAUCCCAAACUUCAAAGACAAUCUGCUUACGCAAGGGAGUUUUUUACCAUUACUGAAGUUGUAGCCAAGUUUCGACAUUACCUUUUGGGGCAUAAAUUUGUGAUUCGAACAGACCAAAGAAGUUUAAGAAGUCUCACUGAACAGGCCAUUCAAAUACCGAAACAACAGAAAUGGAUACAUAAAUUGUUGGGAUACGAUUUUACGAUUGAAUAUAAAUCAGGCAAUGACAAUGUGGUUGCUGAUUCUUUAUCCAGAUCAUUUAUGAUGGCAUGGUCACAACCCCAAUUAGAUAUCAUACCAGAAUUAAGAAGGACUAUAAAUACAAAUGAAGAAGUGAAAAAAAAUCAUUACGGAUUAUGUAGCCAACAAGCAGGUUGUUCCACAUUAUGUAGUCCAUGAUGGCUUACUUUACUCGAAGGACAUGAUAGUCAAACCUGCAUCUCCUGAAUUAUUUCAAAAGUUGCUCAAAGAAUUUCAUAAUUCUCCUCUUAAUUGGCAUGCAGGAAUCACGAGAACAUUUAACAGACUUGCUCAACAAUUCUAUUGGCCUAGAAUAUAGCAAGAUGUGAAACAAUUUGUUCAAAAUUGUUUGAUCUGUCAGCAGGAAAAAUUAGUUAAUUCUCUUCCCUUAGGGUUACUACAACCUUUACCAGUGCCAACUCAGGUCUGGGAGGAUGUGGCGAUGGACUUUAUCACUAGCCUUCCAACUUCUUAAGGCUAUACUGUGAUAAUGGUCGUGAUUGACCGACUCUCCAAAUACGCUCACUUCUGCCCCUUGAAAGCGGAUUACAACAGUAAACAGGUAGCUGAGACGAUUGUCAAAACUGUCAUCAAAUUACAUGGGUUCCCAAAGACCAUUGACUUAGAUCGGGAUAAGGUGUUUGUAAGUGAAUUCUGGCAACAUUUAUUCAAAUUAAGUAGAACUACCUUGCACAUGAGCACAACUUACUACCCUCAGUCAGAUGGACAGUCAAAAGCUCUUAAUAAAUGCUUAGAGAUGUAUUUAAGGUGCUAUACGUAUGAGUCGCCUAAGGAAUGUGACAAAUUUUUACCUUGGGCUGAGUUUUGGUGCAACACUGCUUAUCAUCACAUCAAUGAUAUGACUCUAUUUAAGGUAGUUUAUGGGAGAGAUCCUCCACAGUUGACUAAAUACACUGCUAAUUCUUCUGAUCCUCCAACAGUUCAAGAUGACCUUACUAAGAGACAAAAAACAAAAUUUAUUACGGUCACAGCACCACAUGAAAAAAUAUGUUGAUGCCAAACGGAAGCACAUGGACUUUAAGAUUAGAGAUAUGGUGUUGAUCAAGUUACAGCCGUACAGACAAAACUCAGUGGCCUUGAGAAAGAAUUAGAAAUUAAGCAUGAAAUACUUUGGUCCUUUUCCUAUCAUUGAACGAAUUGGCUCUAUUGCUUAUAAGCUACUCUUGCCCCAACAACAAAAAUUCACCUUGUCUUCCACUGUUCUCAACUAAAACCUUGCAAGGGAGAUCAUACUCACCAAUAUGUUCCAAUAAUCACUAUUGAUUCUGAGACUCCCCUGUUAUCCAACUUGUUGUUGUGCUUCAAGAUCGUCAAAUUAUGCAAGGGAAUAAGAUAGUAAAACAGUUCUUGAUCCAAUGGGAAGGGUUAGAAGAAUCAACUCCUACAUGGGAAGAUGAAAGUGCCUUACGUAAAGCCUAUCCAACCUUCAACCUUGAGGACAAGGUUAAUUUUAGAGGAGAAGGAAUUGUAACGAGGGAAGAUCAUGAAAACGUGAGGAUGGAAGAAACACGUGGAAGCAAGCACGUGAGAAAAAAUAAUAUCAGACUCGAUGAUUAUGAUUGGACAAAGGUUCAUUAAAUUGAAGUUUGUUAGAGGAAAGAUGGGGUGCUGUCAUUUACAUAUUCUCUGACUUCUUCUUUUCGUUAUGUGCCUUCCUUCUCUACUACCAUUUCUUUUUCUGUUAUAUGAACUUUUGUACUCAAAUUAUUGAAGGACGCUUUACAGAGAAUAUUACAAGAUACUAUUAUAACGUCAUUUCAUUCUCCUUUCCAAAUUCUAUUACUGUUACAUUGCUAUCUUACAUAUGGCACAUCAAAGACAUGCAGGAUAUAGUCAUCCAAAGUGCAGUAAUGGAAAGUAAUUAUGCAACAAUACAUUUCACUCUAUAAAUAAGUCAUGCUAACUGAUACCUAAUGUUUUGUUUCCAUUAAACAUUUCUUAAUAUGUUUACAUAGUGUUAGGUAUUUUUGUUUUCUACCAACCAAGUGGUUAUUAUAUGCUAUUUUCGAUUUCCAUAACAGAUAAAGGUGAGCUAUGUCUCAGACUUCUUUUUUGUUAAUAAUAAUCCGAAUACAUAUUAGUUCCCCCAAGUAACUUGAGAAGUUCUCUUGUCAUAAGUUUACAUAUAUGCCAAAAACAAGGACUAGAAAAAACAUUCAUUCUAUGGAAAGAAGACCACCGUUUGUAAACCUGGUCUUUAAACUACAAGCGUAAAUGAACACCACUGUGUGUGAGUGGUGCACUAAUUCAUAAUGUAAUAAAUUCCUUCAGGAUUCAAUCUUCCAUCUCCAUGGUAUAUUAUUAUUACACAGUUGUCAACUAUGCUUCAGUUUCUUCAUUUUUUGAUGGAUUUGAUUCGUCAUAAUUAAUUAAAUAAUCACAUGCUGAAACACAUUACCACCUUGGUUGCUGUGGCCUGGAGAAAUUACUAGUUAUUUCUGACUUUUUCCGAGAUGAGUUUCUUAAACCGUGACCCAAAUUCAUCACGCAGUUCAAGCUCAAAAACAGCAUUUUCAACUGCCCCACUCAGUUUAUUGUCCGCAUCAGCAUUAUGGAAGCAAUAUAUUUUCUUAGCUUUCUCCAUACAGAGUUGCUGUUGAUUAAAGUUCCAACGUUUAUCCACAGACCAACACCGACAAAGAUGAAGAAAAUAAAUGUUAUUAUCUGAAUAUACAUGAACAAAACUAACAUUAUAAGCUAUUAAACACCAAUGAACACAUGCAAACCGAAUGCAAGAACAUGUUAUAAAAAAGGAAUUCUGGAAUCGCUAUAUGUAUGCUUGUAACCAAGUUCAACCAUGUUGGAAUGAAAUCAAAACACAAUUGAACUAUCCAAGACAUGCUCAAAAUAAAAAAUUGAAAGUGCAAUUGAGUGCUUAUGCAAAGAAAACAAAACUUGUAUAUGAUGGAUGCAAAAUUGUUGUUCUAUCCUAAUGAAUGUAUGAACUGAGAGUUUAGAAAUGCAAUGCUAGAAAAAGAAAAGCACAACUCAACAAAACCACAUAGAAGAAAAAGAAAGAUGCAAUCAUCAGUUAAAACACUUUGGCAUUAAAUAGCCACCCUAAGACUAUCAAAGCAGAUACAAAUAUGGUAAAGAAACAUGUAAAGAAUAUUGGCAAAGCAAAUUUCAGCAAUAAACGUGCAAUGGUUUGAGGAAAAGAGUCUCAAUCACCCUCCAAAAAGACAUUUUGUAAAUGUAAAGCCCACUUUGGGGUCUUUUAGUUCAUAUUUCAGAAACUCAAAACUGCCAAAUCUCACUGAAACCACCAACCAAUGCGCAUCUAAACCCGAAUCAUGCUUUCUAAUGAAUGGACAUGGAUGCUAUGGUCAAUUAUCAUCAGAAUUUCUUUCAAGAGCAAAAAUAAGUGAUUACCUAUACUCUAUUCACCAUUAUCAAGCUAAGCAAUCAAGACCAACAAGUUACAAAAUUAGAGUUCUAAUUCUAUUCUAAGGGAAAUCAAACAAACUCGGAAAAAGAACAAAAUUUAGAUAAUCAGAACAAGAAAAGGGAAAGAACUGUGCAAGAAAUAGAAAAAAAGCUCUAAAACAAGUUCUAAUUGUUAAAAACACAACAAAGGCAAACUGAAAUCAGAGAAAAAGAAAAGAACAAGAGUAUUGAAUUCAAGAAAGAAGUUUUAUAGAGAUUACACGAAGACUCUUUAGGAAAUCCAACUCCCUCCUUUAGGUUCCUUUGCACUCACAAGGGAUGGAACUUUCUCUGCAUUACACAUUCAAACUCUUUGCAACUCCAGAACUCUUCUUAUCCUACGCAUACUAGUACAAUAACUAAAAAGUAAAGGAAAAGAAUGAAAGACUCUCUGCAACUCCAUAUUGCACGAGAGAGACCUCCGAAUUCCUCUCUAUUCUACUCUACAGAUUACAUUUUUUUGACUCUCGAUACUCUACACUCUGAUUAUAGCACAAAAAACUCUCACUCUAUACAUCUAUUUAAAGAAACUAAAACGGGAAAAAAGGAAGGGAAAAAGAAGAACCUGAGCCAAACUUCUUCAAAUGGCUUGGUCAUACACGAGCCCCUCAACACGCUGCAGGUCCUUGAAGACUGCUUCACCUUCAGGCCAAGGUUCGACAACUCCAAAGGGUCUCCUCUUUAUUCUCUUAGGGGAAACUUCGAACUCAUCUCGCGUCCUCAUGCCUUCGGCUAUGCAGUGCAAGCCAAACGAUGCGUUUCGGACCAGCAAAGUUGUGAGUUUCACUUAGGGCAAAUCCAACCCUUAAGUUGACUAAUUCAACCCUUUGACCAAGGACUAUCCUGC